CCUCUUCGAUCUGCUGCGGGCAGAUAAAGUGGAUAUGGGUGUCGAUACCCCCGGCAGUGAGGAUCAUGCCUUCACCGGCGAUCACUUCGGUGCCGGCACCGACGGCGAUGGUCACGUCGGGCUGAAUGUCCGGGUUACCGGCCUUGCCGAUGGCGGCGAUGCGGCCGUCCUUGAGGCCGACGUCGGCUUUGACGAUGCCCCAGUGGUCGAUGAUCAAUGCAUUGGUGAUCAGGGUGUCGACCACAUCGGCAGCGCAGAGCUGGCCCUGGCCCAUGCCGUCGCGG
rfam:Pseudomonas sp. 21C1 contig00018, whole genome shotgun sequence.